CUGGCGGCGUGCCUAAUACAUGCAAGUCGAACGCUUUUUCUUUCACCGGAGCUUGCUCCACCGAAAGAAAAAGAGUGGCGAACGGGUGAGUAACACGUGGGUAACCUGCCCAUCAGAAGGGGAUAACACUUGGAAACAGGUGCUAAUACCGUAUAACACUAUUUUCCGCAUGGAAGAAAGUUGAAAGGCGCUUUUGCGUCACUGAUGGAUGGACCCGCGGUGCAUUAGCUAGUUGGUGAGGUAACGGCUCACCAAGGCAACGAUGCAUAGCCGACCUGAGAGGGUGAUCGGCCACACUGGGACUGAGACACGGCCCAGACUCCUACGGGAGGCAGCAGUAGGGAAUCUUCGGCAAUGGACGAAAGUCUGACCGAGCAACGCCGCGUGAGUGAAGAAGGUUUUCGGAUCGUAAAACUCUGUUGUUAGAGAAGAACAAGGAUGAGAGUAGAACGUUCAUCCCUUGACGGUAUCUAACCAGAAAGCCACGGCUAACUACGUGCCAGCAGCCGCGGUAAUACGUAGGUGGCAAGCGUUGUCCGGAUUUAUUGGGCGUAAAGCGAGCGCAGGCGGUUUCUUAAGUCUGAUGUGAAAGCCCCCGGCUCAACCGGGGAGGGUCAUUGGAAACUGGGAGACUUGAGUGCAGAAGAGGAGAGUGGAAUUCCAUGUGUAGCGGUGAAAUGCGUAGAUAUAUGGAGGAACACCAGUGGCGAAGGCGGCUCUCUGGUCUGUAACUGACGCUGAGGCUCGAAAGCGUGGGGAGCGAACAGGAUUAGAUACCCUGGUAGUCCACGCCGUAAACGAUGAGUGCUAAGUGUUGGAGGGUUUCCGCCCUUCAGUGCUGCAGCAAACGCAUUAAGCACUCCGCCUGGGGAGUACGACCGCAAGGUUGAAACUCAA
rnacentral:rRNA from 1 species